rnacentral:rRNA from 1 species
UGUCCCAGUUCAGAUUGCAGGCUGCAACUCGCCUGCAUGAAGUCGGAAUUGCUAGUAAUCGCAGAUCAGCAUGCUGUGGUGAAUACGUUCCCGGGCCUUGUACACACCGCCCGUCACACCAUGAGAGUCGGGAACACCCGAAGUCCGUAGCCUGACCGCGAAGGGGGGCGCGGCCGAAGGUGGGUUCGAUAAUUGGGGUGAAGUCGUAACAAGGUAUC